rnacentral:rRNA from 1 species
CGGAUGUGUAAGCGCAGCGAUGCGUUGAGCUAACCGGUACUAAUGAACCGUGAGGCUUAACCUUACAACGCCGAAGGUGUUU